rnacentral:rRNA from 1 species
GACGUAGGGUGCGAGCGUUGUCCGGAUUUAUUGGGCGUAAGGAGCUCGUAGGCGGCUCGUCGCGUCGACCGUGAAAACCCGCGGCUUAACUGCGGGCUUGCGGUUGAUACGGGCGGGCUAGAGUUCGGUAGGGGAGACUGGAAUUCCUGGUGUAGCGGUGAAAUGCGCAGAUAUCAGGAAGAACACCAAUGGCGAAAGCAGCUCUCUGGGACGGUACUGACGCUGAGACGCGAAAGCGUGGGGAGCGAACAGG